ACAGCAUAUAGAUCAGACUGGAGUUGAGACGUGUGCUUUUCCGGUAGCGCGGCGGCGCCGAAGCCGCCGUCGGUAGCUCCGCGCGCGGCCCGGGCUUGCCGUUGCCGCCGCUCUCCUUCGCGUCCGGCGCUGCGGCCGCGUCCGGCGCUGCAGCCACGUCCGGCUGCCGUCCCCCU